rnacentral:tRNA from 1 species
GUUUGGUUAGCUUACGUGGUAGGAAGCAUUCGAUUGAAAAUCGAGGGAGAUUGGUUCGAGUCCAAUACCAGACA